rnacentral:lncRNA from 1 species
UGAUUGUCCCUGUAAAUUAUUUUGAUUAAUCUCUUUGAUACGCAACACAAAAGAAUAGAGCUAAUAUCUGUACUUAGCAUGGCCAUCCUGUUCAACAUAAUUGUUGCCAUGAAAAAUAUGCAUUAUGUACUACUCCCUAGCUACUUUGUAGUGAUCAAUAUCAAAUAUCUUCUUGACGACCUGAAAGACUGAGUGGCCAGAUGGGAUGAUCUUUAGUCCAUCCGACAACCAAAUUGAAGAUCUAUUGCCA